GAGAGAUGUUGCACAGAGAUUUGGAGUGUGUCCUGCUACAACUUACCGACAAAAUAAUAGAGUUACAGAUUUCUUAUGUGAUAUAGCUAGCAACGUUAUCAAAUUUUCGGAUAAAGAAACUACUACAAACGAAUUCUUUGAAAUUGCUGGUUUUCCUAAAGUGCUUGGCUGCAUUGAUGGCACAUUUAUUAAAGUGCGGACACCAGCACACAAAAUUAAAUCGACGAAUUCCGUCAAAGAUUCACGACGCACGUGUUCUGAAAUUGUCAGAUGUAUAUGAGGCGUUACCAGGAAUAUGUGAAGGCAAUAAGUAUCAUAUA